AGCGAACGUUUGCGGCGGGCCUAACACAUGCAAGUCGAACGCACUAGCAAUAGUGAGUGGCGCACGGGUGCGUAACACGUGGGUAAUCAACCCUUCAGCCUGGGAUAACGACUCGAAAGGGUCGCUAAUACCGGAUACGGCGCGAGAGGCUUCGGCUUCUCACGAGAAAGCCACGCAAGGGGCACUGAAGGACGAGCCUGCGGCCCAUCAGCUAGUUGGUGAGGUAAGAGCUCACCAAGGCUAAGACGGGUAGCUGGUCUGAGAGGAUGAUCAGCCACACUGGAACUGAGACACGGUCCAGACUCCUACGGGAGGCAGCAGUGGGGAAUAUUGCGCAAUGGGCGAAAGCCUGACGCAGCCACGCCGCGUGAGCGAUGAA
rnacentral:rRNA from 1 species